rnacentral:rRNA from 1 species
UACGGAGGGUGCGAGCGUUGUCCGGAAUCAUUGGGCGUAAAGCGCACGUAGGCGGACUGUUAAGUCGGGGGUGAAAUCCUGGGGCUCAACCUCAGAAUUGCCUCCGAUACUGGCAGUCUCGAGUGCGGGAGAGGUGAGUGGAAUUCCCAGUGUAGAGGUGAAAUUCGUAGAUAUUGGGAAGAACACCAGUGGCGAAGGCGGCUCACUGGCCCGUAACUGACGCUGAGGUGCGAAAGCGUGGGGAGCAAACAGG